CUGCGAUUUUUCAGGGUGACUGGGAUGAAGCGGAUCAAAAAACGAAAAAAAUACUUAUCACCAUGAUGACGAGAUCUGUUCAACCAUUGAGUUUGACGGUUGGUCCCUUCUUUGUGGUCAAUUUGGAACUUUUUCUGAAGAUUACUAAAACUGUCUACUCAUUAACCACUCUUUUCUUCUAAACUAGAGACGAAUAGAUUCGACCUUGCAGAAAUACUUGAAAUACAAAUUGAGAAUCAUGCAUUUAUUAUUAUUUAUUGAUUGCACAUUCAGGUUGAUGGAUUAAUUAAAGGAAUUCAAUCAUUACCUACUA